ensembl:lncRNA
UGUAAACUGAAAGAGUUGCAUACUUCUUCACCCAGCACGGUCACUGAGCUGGCAAGCUAAAGUUAGCUAGUGAGUCACAGAAAUGUACGUUCAGUCUGUUAAUUAUUUCAGUCCGAUUGGACUUAUCCUACUCAAAUCAACAUGGCUCAACAUAGUUUUUUCGUUUUUGACCUCGACAUUCUUGUUGGAUAGAUACUUUGAUAGCUAACAUGUGGGCUAAUCUCCUUUGGAUGCCUCCAUCUAGUUCCCUAGAGCAGCAGACCGGUUAGUCAACUUUGCUUUCGAACUUUGUAAUCAUCUGUAAAGUUGUUUUACAUGAAAUCACACUAGCUAGCUAGCUAUAUUUUGCUAAAAAGCCUGUUGAUGUAAUUGGUUGUUUAUUUGGAGCUAGCUUACUAAGCUAUCACUAGCUAGCUAGGUGGUUAAUGUGGUGUAGGCAACAGUACCUUUACAGUGUUACUGAAUGACAACAAUAUAGCCUUGUAGUUGGCAAGUUGGUUGAUAUGGGGUGCAGUAGGCUAUAGUACAACAGUACUAAAUGAUAACAACGUGCCUUGUCACUAGCUAGUAGUUGGUUGAUGGGGUGGGGUAAAGUAGGCUACAAUACAGCAACAAUAGCCUUCCUACUGUUCUGUUAUUCGUUGGGUCUGGAAAUGGUUAAAUUAGAUAAUAUUAUAGAAAUAUCACACAUUCCUGCAGCUGGGGUGGUGUCACAUUGUCUUUAUCCAUACCAUAGCUGCAGCUACGGAUAUGCCUUUUACUUGAGAGCUCUGUCUUUGCCAGGUCUCCCUUGACAAAAUAACGUUUUUUCUUUUGACCUGGUAAAAUAAGCUUGUGUCCAUUCUCACUAGAUAUAAUUGUGUGGUUCGUUGGCAGAUUUUCAAAAGAAAAUAGACAUAUACAGUAUAUCAUCAGCAAUUUUCAACCAGAUAAGAUACACAGCUAACCCAUAUUUAAUUGAAUUCAUAAAUGUGGACACUAAUUAUUGUUAAUAUUCCAAUCCUCUAGGCCCUCCAUUCCCAAACCUGAAGCCCCCUGUCCCCAGCAGGAAAUACCAAGAAAAACUUCCUAUUGAGGAAAUAUCUGUCAACCAGGUUCGGUGGGUGACAGGUAAGCGUGUUUCCACAAAGAUGUUCCAGACCUGGAGUGGCACGCUGGAACUUCCAGAGGCUUGUAGACCUGAAGCAGUGUGAGAUCUGACACCCCUACUAGCUCAACCACAGUUCUCACAGCUGCAGUCGUCUGCUCCUGCACCUGCUACACCGGCCACGACAGGUGAUUCAGAUCUGCCACCCCCAGCAGUCCUCUGCUGUGGUAUUUAAUUUACCGGCUACACCGGUUCCUACUACAUUGGCCGCGAAGGGAGAAUCUUUUGAGGAUUCCCAGAUGGAUACAGAUCUGCCAUGCACUCCACCACUACCCCAGACAGCCUCACCCAGAAGUGCAUGCACCGGGCCUAUCACAAAGCAGAGAUGGGUGGCUGACAAGGAAAAAUAAAAUAUAACAUGCACACACACUCUCUCUCUGUUACACACACAUUAUCCCCAAUGUAAAUAAAUUGUAAUUAUUUUAUUUUAGGAUUGGAGAUAUCUUACGCCUACAUAUCCAUUAUCAAUAGCUACAUAAUUACUCUAUCCAAUCAAAGUGUGAUUGAUAAUAUCCCACCCCACAAAAGUACGUGAAUAUGUAAAUACAUAGUAAUAACUCGUUUAUUUUAUGUUUGCUCCAUUUUAUUUGAGGAAAAUGUCUGCAAUAAAGUACAUUCACAUAAAGCAAUGUCUUUGUUUUUUUGGAUAUCUCUCCAAAUAAAAUGUGUGACCAAAAGGAAGUCGGCAGCCCUGCAACUCUCUGGGAGUGUGCAGGUUUUGUCAUCUGGAGCUGAAUCUGGAGAGAGAGGAAGAGUGCAGUUUAAAGGUUUAUCAUUAAUAACUGACACAAUUCUAUAAUGAAUUCAUAUAAAAAUAAUAGUACAUAAUAGAGUGACUAAUAGUUACUGUAUUGUGAUAGUUUAGUGUUUUAAUUACUCAACAAGUAGCGCCCCAAGAUGGGAUCCAACUGUGUCUCAAAAGCAGUAUAAAAGGUCAAAUAAGGUCACCAGAAUUUCUGUUACAAGUCUGGCUCCCGCGAAUCAGGGGCAGGUGCUUACGCCAAUCCGCCUUCCCUAUCCACAAUGCCCUAGCAAAACCAAAACAUACUAGAAUGUAACAGCGCUCUCUGUUGCCCCUAGUGGCCAUUUUCCAUGUCAUCUCCCGACAUCCUAGAACAUGGCAUUUAUUCUAACCUGGCAUUUAUGUCACCACUCUGAACAAACAAUGCUUUUUUAAAAAGUAGACAGUGCAGGUGUGCCAUGUAUUUGUGCAUAUUUUUACAUUUACAUUCAAAUGUCUGCAGAAGUUAAAGUGUUGCCCCUUUCUUAUCUUGUGAGGCAUGUCCCAACAUAUACAUGGUAAUACAACGGUCAAUAAAUAUGCCUGUCAAUACAAUGUUCAGUUCAAUUACGUAUUGCAUCAGACAACAACAUUGACGAAUACGCUGAUUCGGUGUGCGAGUUCAUUAGAACAUGCGUUGAAGAUGUCGUUCCCAUAGCAACGAUUAAAACAUUCCCUAACCAGAAACCUUGGAUUGAUGGCAGCAUUCGUGUGAAACUGAAGGCACGAACCACUGCUUUUAAUCAGGGCAAGGUGUCUGGUAACAUGACUG